rnacentral:rRNA from 1 species
UCGAGAAUCUUCCGCAAUGGGCGAAAGCCUGACGGAGCGACGCCGCGUGUAGGAUGAAGGCCCUCGGGUUGUAAACUACUGUCACGGGUUAUGAAUGUGCAUAUGUUAACAGCGUGUGUAUUGACGUAAGCCCGAAAGGAAGCACCGGCUAACUCUGUGCCAGCAGCCGCGGUAAUACAGAGGGUGCAAACGUUGUUCGGAAUUACUGGGCAUAAAGCGCGCGUAGGCGGCGACGUAAGUGUAGGGUGAAAUCCCACGGCUCACCCGUGUGAAUUGCCCCGCAUACUGCGUUGCUUGAGUGUGGUAGGGGAGAGCGGAACUCCUGGUGGAGCGGUGAAAUGCGUAGAUAUCAGGAGGAACACCGGUGGCGUAGGCGGCUCUCUGGUCCAUAACUGACGCUGAAGUGCGAAAGCUAGGGUAGCGAACGGGAUUAGAUACCCCCGUAGUCCCUGAGCGGGCUGGCAAGGCGCAU